ensembl:misc_RNA Metazoa_SRP Metazoan signal recognition particle RNA
GUCACCAGGUGAGGUGGCACACACUUGUAGUCCCAGCUACUGAAGAGACCGAGGGAGAGCAUGACUUGAGCCCAGGAGUUCUGGGCUACGGGAUGCUAUGCCCAUCACAUGUUCGCACUAAGCUCAACAUCUAAGUUCGCACUAAGCUCAAUACUAAGUGACUUUCUGGGAGCAGGGGACCACCAAGUUGCCUAAGGAGGGGCAAACUGGCCCAGAUUGGAAGCAGAGCAGGUCAAAACUCCUGUGCUGAUCAGUUGUGGGAUUGCGCCUGUGAACAGCCACUGCACUCCAGCCUGGGCAACAUAGCAAGACUCUUUCUCU